rnacentral:rRNA from 1 species
AUGGUGUGGAAUGUUUGAGGGCUAAAUGCGCCUGCCCGUCGGAACGCUAUUUUCCAGGUGGUGACUCAGGCUAGCCCAGCCAUUGUGUGUCUCCAAGAAACAAAAAUUCAUGAUGUAUCGCUAAACAUUGUACGGCGAUGCCUCAGUGCUAAGUUUGAGAAGUUUUUCUAUUUGCCUGCAUUAGGAACGCGCGGUGGGAUCUUGGUGGCCUGGGAUGCCACGAUAACCCAACUCUCUAACCUGCACUAUACAAACCAUACUUCUAACGGUGCUUGUUAA